CAAGUACUCCCUCCGUCCGGAAUUACUUGUCAUCAAAAUGGAUGUGUCUAGAACUAAAAUACAUCUACAUACAUCCAUUUCAAUGACAAGUAUUUUCGGACGGAGGGAGUACAAG
rfam:Triticum aestivum genome assembly, contig: Triticum_aestivum_CS42_TGACv1_scaffold_446698_5DL